rnacentral:tRNA from 1 species
GGGGAUGUAGCUCAGUGGUAGAGCGCAUGCUUUGCAUGUAUGAGGCCCCGGGUUCGAAAUCCGGCAUCUCCA